UACGUAGGGGGCAAGCGUUGUCCGGAAUCAUUGGGCGUAAAGCGCGCGUAGGCGGCCAGAUAAGUCCGGUGUGAAAGUCACAGGCUCAACCUGUGAAUGCCGCUGGAAACUGUCUGGCUUGAGUCCGGAAGGGGCGAGUGGAAUUCCUGGUGUAGCGGUGAAAUUCGUAGAUAUCGGGAGGAACACCGGUGGCGAAGGCGGCGACCUGGACGAGACCUGACGCUCAGGCACGAAAGCUGGGGGAGCAAACAGG
rnacentral:rRNA from 1 species